AAGGCUACACUUUUAGGGAUCAUUUCUAUAGUUUGCUUAUAGAAUAAGCAGUACCUGCAAAGGUCCCAGUGAGGACAAUGGUAAGUGCAGGUGCUGG
rnacentral:snoRNA from 1 species